rnacentral:lncRNA from 7 species
AACCAGGUGAGGAAAUAGAGAGGUAUGGUGUAACACAACACUACCCUUCAGGAGACCUACAGUUGGGUAAAGUUCUAUGUGCUAUGCAAAUGCAACACAUGUUUUUCUUGCAAGAAACUCCUUUUUCCUGGUUAAUGCUGCAUCCCCUAGAAACUGAAAACUCGACUUCAGCAAAUAGUUUCUGACACAAACACAGACCCACGUUCUCCAAGCCCCUCCUUGUCCUCCUUAUGCUGCCAGCAUCUCAGUGACGAACAAAGCAGAUGCUGAAACAUCUGUGCUGAGCACACUGCUGUGGGCUCCCACAUUGCACAGACAGACCACAUUAACAAUGGAUGCAUUUACAGUGAUGUGUUCUGCCAGAUCAGGGGUGUAAUGCCUGGCUGCCAUUAAUGGGCAUCUACGUGGCAAGAUCAGACUAGUUAUCCAAAGUAAAACCCUAAAACAUGGAUAGUAUGGAUGUAGAGUGACUGUUUCGCACUACAUAUCUACUGCUGUCAUUUUGUACCACUGCUUCACACUGAUGCUCUCUGGUCAACUCCUUAGCAGAAGAGAAAUUUGUAGUUUGGAGCAUGGGAACUGAUAAUCUUUGCUCAUGUUAAACCUCAUAGUUCCUUAUUUCUUGCGGUCUUUGGGCUAGUUUCCAACUUGUCUGAGUGCGGCUGCUGCAAGGGAAGAUUGUGGAUCCAUGUGCAACGUUCUCCUAUUCUUUGUUGCUAAUGCAGUUUGUCUUUUCUCUUUCCUUUGUCAAAGUGAAAGCUUAUUUCAGGUUCCUCUGCUUCUAGCAUUGGCCUCAACUGAACAUGCUGGCAAAAUACCUGUAGUGGAAAUGCUAAGUCAGAGCUUGAACCAGUGAUUGAGCACCUGGUGGGAAGGCAGGGCCAACCCACGGGAGCUCAGGUGCAUGCAAUGUAACUGAGUGACCAGAAGGGAUGGAGCCAGGAUCCACCGCUUCCUAGACAUCACACAAGUGUUGGCAGUGGAGGCAAGCAAGGCCUUCUGAAGGUAAGCAGCUUCUUUUCUUUAUUUCUGAGCCUGUGGCUGUUGCAUUUGAGCAAAUUCUCACUUGCUGUAGCCUGGGAUCUUGCUGCUCUGCUGUCACUGCUACACCUUCCAUUGCAUUACAGCAUCUGAUGCUGCGUCUUAUUCUGCAGGCCAUGUGCAAGAAACAUCUUCAUAUCUGCCUGAGCUAUGCUGCAGACAUCUUUGUUCAGAAUUCCUAGUACUACAAACAUGACGUUCGGCUGAGUUGGUUUUGCCUCUCCUUCCACAUCAGUCACUCUGUGUCUUGACCCUCCAUACUUAUGCACAAGUGGCUGCUCUUUAACUGGUUCCCAUGGAUAGUUCUGUUCUGGCUAUUUGGAGCUAUUCCUCUAGUGUUAAAAUUCCCAUUGACCACAUCUUUCCCCCUUUACAGCAAUUCUUCCUGAAAGCCAACAUUUCUAAAGGAAUUGCUACAGAUUCAAAAUUAACUGUGAGAGUUUUAGCUUUGUGCCUUGUUAAUUCCAUUCCUAACUCUUGGCACCAAGCAAAAUGAAACGCCCCUCAUGCCUUGCUCUCUCCUGGCUACUGUUCUUGCUGUUCUUACCUCAGUUAGCUGAUUCAGGUGUAAUCCUGGCAAUAGCAUCCCUCCCUCUCUGUCCCCUUUCGCAGGCCCAGCAAUAUUUAUUUUCUAUACCUCCACUGCUCUGUGUUCUAUAUGCUGUGUUGUGCUCGGACUCUUCUGUAGCAGAACCUUUUGUAGAAAUCCUUGGUGCUGGGCAGCUGGCCUCUUUGCUAACUCUUGUUCUGCUUUCUUAGCCCACAAGCUUCAUAGAUCUGAAAAAAGGAGCAGUCACUUUCCAGAGAAGAGAACCUGGAAGACCCGGCUGCUGCUGGGACAACCUCUGCUUGCUCCUUGUAACCACCAUGAGAAACUCUGCAGGCAGCUGGGCUUGAGCUGUACUCUGAGCUAGUGCAAAAUUGCUUGCUAGCUGUGAAGCAGCCUGCUUUUCUCUCUGGAAUAGUGGAACUACUUUCAGGACAUUAUUAGGACUGGGAAAAACUACCCAGCGUGUCGGAAGAGAAUUUAAAUCAGGCCCAGAGCAACUGGCACUCGGAUAUGACAAUUUUACGGGAGUACUGCGAGGCAGCAAGGGGAUGUUAUCCUGUGCUACCGUGACCACCAGCAUUUGGGGAGAUGGAAGCUGCAUUUAAGGAUUCUGCCAGGCAAAAGAGAGAAGUGACCCUGGACCCUUCAGUUCAUAGAGAGCUGGUUGGCACUUACUUUGGUUGGCCCAAAGGAAAUACAAUCAAGUGUGUGUGAAAGAGCAAGCACUGGGUCACAGCUCCGAGAGCAGCAGUAAGAAGCACUCUUUCUCUGCAAAGCAAGGGGCUUAUGGGCAAAAUACAGCCAUUCUCAGACAGCUCAAUGAAACACACACAACCUGAACAAAAACAGCAGCACCAUGACUUUUCCUUGUCACAGCUCAAAGGAGGAAGCAACUGCAUCUGCUACCCAGACUGCACGCUGCUAUUUCCAGGUGUGUUUUCCCCCUGCCAAACCUGCAGCAUAGGAAGCAAGCCCUGCCUGUUGCGUGGCUGGCUAAUCUCCUAUCACUCAUUCUUCCAUUCAGCAAUGUAGCAUUGUGUGUUCUGUGUUUGGUAUUGCUGAAAUAAAGAGCAUA